rnacentral:rRNA from 1 species
UGGGGAAUCUUGCACAAUGGGGGCAACCCUGAUGCAGCGACGCCGCGUGAGCGAUGAAGCCCUUCGGGGCGUAAAGCUCUUUCGACCGGAACGAUAAUGACGGUACCGGGAGAAGAAGCUGCGGCUAACUACGUGCCAGCAGCCGCGGUAAUACGUAGGCAGCAAGCGUUGUUCGGAGUUACUGGGCGUAAAGAGUGCGUAGGCGGUUUUCUAAGUUCGGUGUGAAAUCUCCCGGGUUAACUGGGAGGGUGCGCCGAAGACUGGGAAGCUGGAGUGUGGGAAAGGCAGGCGGAAUUCCUGGUGUAGCGGUGAAAUGCGUAGAUAUCAGGAGGAACACCGGCGGUGUAGACGGCUUGCUAGACCAUAACUGACGCUGAGGCACGAAAGCGUGGGUAGCAAACA